rnacentral:rRNA from 1 species
GACGAACGCUGGCGGCGUGCUUAACACAUGCAAGUCGAACGGAGUGGCGAACGGGUGAGUAACACGUGGGUGACCUGCCCUGCACUUCGGGAUAAGCCUGGGAAACUGGGUCUAAUACCGGAUAGUGUGGGAUGGGCCCGCUGCCUAUCAGCUUGUUGGUGGGGUAAUGGCCUACCAAGGCGGUGAGGGGUAGCCGGCCUGAGAGGGUGGACGGCCACAUGGGGACUGAGACACGGCCCAGACUCCUACGGGAGGCAGCAGUGGGGAAUAUUGCGCAAUGGGUGAAAGCCUGAUGCAGCCAUGCCGCGUGAAUGAAGAAGGCCUUCGGGUUGUAAAGUUCUUUUGGUAGUGAGGGUUAAUCGCGCGACAAAUUGACGUUAAAUACAGAAGAAGCACCGGCUAACUCCGUGCCAGCAGCCGCGGUAAUUC